rnacentral:rRNA from 1 species
CAAUAGCGUAUAUUAAAGUUGUUGCGGUUAAAAAGCUCGUAGUUGGAUUUCUGCUGAGAACGACCGGUCCGCCCUCUGGGUGUGUAUCUGGCUCUUUCUUGGCAUCUUCUUGGUGAACGUUGCAGCACUUGACUGUGUGGAGCGCUACCCAGGACUUUUACUUUGAGGAAAUUAGAGUGUUUCAAGCAGGCAUACGCCUUGAAUACAUUAGCAUGGAAUAAUAAGAUAGGACCUCGGUUCUAUUUUGUUGGUUUCUAGAGCUGAGGUAAUGAUUAAUAGGGAUAGUUGGGGGCAUUCGUAUUUAACUGUCAGAGGUGAAAUUCUUGGAUUUGUUAAAGACGAACUACUGCGAAAGCAUUUGCCAAGGAUGUUUUCAUUAA